rnacentral:rRNA from 1 species
AUACGGAGGGUGCAAGCGUUAUCCGGAUUCAUUGGGUUUAAAGGGUGCGCAGGCGGACUUGUAAGUCAGUGGUGAAAUCCCGGGGCUCAACCUCGGAACUGCCAUUGAUACUGCAAGUCUUGAGUUUGGUUGAAGUGGGCGGAAUGUAGCAUGUAGCGGUGACAUGCAUAGAUAUGCUACAGAACACCGAUCGCGAAGGCAGCUCACUAAACCAACACUGACGCUCAGGCACGAAAGCGUGGGGAGCGAACAGGAUUAGAAACCCUAGUAGUCC